rnacentral:rRNA from 1 species
AGAGUUUGAUUCUGGCUCAGAACGAACGCUGGCAGCGUGGAUUAGGCAUGCAAGUCGAACGGGAUCCUUUAGAGACAAUUCUUCGGAAGAGAAUCUUUAGGUGAGAGUGGCGGAAGGGUGAGGAACACGUGGAUAACCUACCCUCAAGUUGGGGACAACCCCGCGAAAGCGGGGCUAAUACCGGAUGUGCUUUUGCAACGUAUGUUGCAAUAAGUAAAGGUGGGGACCUUUAGGGGCCUGCCGCUUGAGGAGGGGUCCGCGCCCCAUCAGCUAGUUGGUAAGGUAAAGGCUUACCAAGGCUUAUGGGUAGUUGGUUUGAGAGGAUGGUCAGCCACACUGGGAUUGAGAUACUGCCCAGACUCCUACGGGAGGCUGCAGUCGAGGAUCAUUCGCAAUGCGCGAAAGCGUGACGAUGCGACGCUGCGUGGAGGAUGACGGCCUUCGGGUUGUAAACUCCUGUCAUGAGGGAAAAACGGUCCAGCAGUUAAUACCUGCCGGAUGUGAUGGUACCUCAAGAAGAAGCCACGGCUAACUCUGUGCCAGCAGUCGCGGUGAUACAGAGGUGGCGAGCGUUGUUCGGAUUUACUGGGCGUAAAGGGUGCGUAGGCGGUUUUGUGUGUCGGAUGUGAAAGCCCAUGGUUUAACCAUGGAAUUGCGUCUGAAACUGCAGAACUAGAGUACAGGAUGGGAGAGCGGAAUUCUUGGUGUAGCGGUGAAAUGCGUUGAUAUCAAGAAGAAUAUUGGUGGCGAAGGCGGCUCUCUGGAAUGUUACUGACGCUGAGGCACGAAAGCUGGGGGAGUAAACAGGAUUAGAUACCCUGGUAGUCCCAGCCGUAAACGGUGUCGACUUGGUGUUGGAGGUAUUGACCCCUUCAGUGCCGGAGCUAACGCGUUAAGUCGACCGCCUGGGGAGUACGAUCGCAAGAUUAAAACUCAAAGAAAUUGACGGGGGCCCGCACAAGCGGAGGAGCAUGUGGCUUAAUUCGAUGCAACGCGAAGAACCUUACCUGGGCUUGACAUGUAACUGCAAGUCCUGUGAAAGCAGGAUUCCUUCGAGGGUGUUACACAGGUGCUGCAUGGCUGUCGUCAGUUCGUGCCGUGAGGUGUUGGGUUAAGUCCCGCAACGAACGCAACCCCUGUGGUUAGUUGCUAUCGGCGGUGAUGAGCCGUCGAGCACUCUAGCCAGACUGCCCGUACAAGCGGGAGGAAGGUGGGGACGGCGUCAAGUCAGUAUGGCCCUUACGCCCAGGGCUGCACACGUGCUACAAUGGCCGGUCCAGUGGGAUGCAAUACCGUGAGGUGGAGCAAAUCCUCAAAACCGGCCCCAGUUCGGAUUGGAGUUUGAAACUCGACUCCAUGAAGUUGGAUUCGCUAGUAACGGCGUAUUAGCUACGACGCCGUGAAUACGUUCCCGGGCCUUGUACACACCGCCCGUCACAUUAUGAAAGCCGUCUGCACCCGAAGUUGUUGAGUUAAUUUUUUAUGAGGAGGCAGGUGCCGAAGGUGUGGGUGGUAAUU